GACGAACGCUGGCGGCGUGCUUAACACAUGCAAGUCGAACGGAAAGGCCCCAGCUUGCUGGGGUACUCGAGUGGCGAACGGGUGAGUAACACGUGGGUGAUCUGCCCUGCACUCUGGGAUAAGCCUGGGAAACUGGGUCUAAUACCGGAUAGGACCGUGCUUUAGUGUGUGCGGUGGAAAGUUUUUCGGUGCAGGAUGAGCCCGCGGCCUAUCAGCUUGUUGGUGGGGUAAUGGCCUACCAAGGCGGCGACGGGUAGCCGGCCUGAGAGGGUGUACGGCCACAAUGGGACUGAGACACGGCCCAGACUCCUACGGGAGGCAGCAGUGGGGAAUAUUGCACAAUGGGCGCAAGCCUGAUGCAGCGGCGCCGCGUGGGGGAUGACGGCCUUCGGGUUGUAAACCCCUUUCGGCAGGGACGAAGCUUUUGUGACGGUACCUGCAUAAGAAGCACCGGCUAACUACGUG
rnacentral:rRNA from 1 species